AGAACGAACGCUGGCGGCAUGCCUAACACAUGCAAGUCGAACGAGACCUUCGGGUCUAGUGGCGCACGGGUGCGUAACGCGUGGGAAUCUGCCCUUGGGUUCGGGAUAACAGUUGGAAACGACUGCUAAUACCGGAUGAUGACUUCGGUCCAAAGAUUUAUCGCCCAGGGAUGAGCCCGCGUAGGAUUAGCUAGUUGGUGAGGUAAAGGCUCACCAAGGCGACGAUCCUUAGCUGGUCUGAGAGGAUGAUCAGCCACACUGGGACUGAGACACGGCCCAGACUCCUACGGGAGGCAGCAGUGGGGAAUAUUGGACAAUGGGCGAAAGCCUGAUCCAGCAAUGCCGCGUGAGUGAUGAAGGCCUUAGGGUUGUAAAGCUCGUUUUACCCGGGAAGAUAAUGACUGUACCGGGAGAAUAAGCCCGGCUAACUCCGCGCCAGCAGCCGC
rnacentral:rRNA from 1 species